rnacentral:rRNA from 1 species
GACGAACGCUGGCGGCGUGCCUAAUACAUGCAAGUAGAACGCUGAAGGAGGAGCUUGCUCUUCUGGAUGAGUUGCGAACGGGUGAGUAACGCGUAGGUAACCUGCCUGGUAGCGGGGGAUAACUAUUGGAAACGAUAGCUAAUACCGCAUAAGAGUAGAUGUUGCAUGACAUUUGCUUAAAAGGUGCAAUUGCAUCACUACCAGAUGGACCUGCGUUGUAUUAGCUAGUUGGUGGGGUAACGGCUCACCAAGGCGACGAUACAUAGCCGACCUGGGAGGGUGAUCGGCCACACUGGGACGGAGACACGGCCCAGACUCCUACGGGAGGCAGCAGUAGGGAAUCUUCGGCAAUGGACGGAAGUCUGAACGAGGAACGCCGCGGGAGAGAAGAAGGUUUUCGGAUCGUAAAGCUCUGUUGUAAGAGAAGAACGAGUGUGAGAGUGGAAAGUUCACACUGUGACGGUAUCUUACCAGAAAGGGACGGCUAACUACGUG